rnacentral:rRNA from 1 species
UACGUAGGGACCAAGCGUUGUUCGGAUUUACUGGGCGUAAAGGGCGCGUAGGCGGCGUGGUAAGUCACUUGUGAAAUCUCUGAGCUUAACUCAGAACGGCCAAGUGAUACUGCUGUGCUAGAGUGCAGAAGGGGCAAUCGGAAUUCUUGGUGUAGCGGUGAAAUGCGUAGAUAUCAAGAGGAACACCUGAGGUGAAGACGGGUUGCUGGGCUGACACUGACGCUGAGGCGCGAAAGCCAGGGGAGCAAACGGGAUUAGAAACCCUCGUAGUCC